CAGCUUGUUAAUCCAGUGCGUUUUCUUUCCACAGAACUGCGAGCAUAGCUAGGAGAAAAGAAAGAGGAGAAAAAAAAUAUAUAGAAAUAUAUUUAUAAGUAUUCUCUUGUUUUUGAACCGUCGUGUAUUUGUGUGAAUUAUGAAAGCGAUAAGUCCAGUGAGGUCUUUCCGGAAAAGCGGCGCGAGCGCGACGGAGCAAAGCCUCGGAGUGUCUCGGAGCAAAACCCCCGCGGACGAUCCUCUCAGCCUGCUGUACAACAUGAACGACUGCUAUUCGAAGCUGAAAGAGCUGGUGCCCAGCAUCCCGCAGAACAAACACGUGAGCAAAAUGGAGAUCCUGCAACAUGUCAUCGAUUACAUCCUGGAUCUGCAGAUCGCCCUCGACUCGCAUUCCGCGAUCAGCAGCGCGCUCCAUCUUCCCCGAGCCGACCAGGGCUCUUCCAGGACACCGCUCACCACCAUCAACACAGACAUCAGGAUCUUGUCCUUACAGACGCCGGAGUUUCAGUCAGACUUGAUCACAGAGGACAGUCGGACACUUUACCGUUAACCAGGUGUUUGCUUAAGACGUGAACACACAGGAACCCAGGACCUUGUCUCUCCCUCUCUCUCCCCAACACACACACACUCAAAUGGUGUUCUCGCCUGGAUCUCCAAUCAUUUUUUUUUUCCCCCUCCUCCUGAAUGAAGAGGCGUUUGCUUCUUAAAGGACAAUGUAUGUGACGUGUUUCUCAGUUUGGACAUUGAUCUUUUUUAUUUAUCUAAAGACUCAUUUUUUUUUUUUUUCUUCAAGACGAAGAAGCACUAUAUUCCCUAAACCAUGAGGGAAGAAAACGAGGCAUGGAAGAAAAAUUGCCUGUUAUUUUUGUGUGUGUGUGUGUGUGUGUGUGUGUGUGUGUGUGUGUGAUGACUGUGUGAAUAGAAGCAAGUGUGCUUCACUUACUGUACAAAGUUUAACUUUUUUUUUAUAUAAAUUUCCCAUCAUUCUUUGGGCACGUGAAGGACUGGACAGCCGAUCUGACAUUCGCGUGAAAUCUUGUGAACUCUCUCUCUCUCUCUCUCUCUCUCUCUCUCUCUGAGUUAUAUCUUGUAUAGUUGCAGACGUUGGCCUACCACGCUGCAAAGUGUCAUGCUGUAUUUAAUUAUGCUGAAACUUUUUAUAAAAGUAAUUGUAAAUCGUACCUUUUUUUAUAUAUAAAAUAAAUCAAAUGCUUUAUUUGAACACACACAUGUCUAUUGUAGUUCAUAGGCCUGCUAUAUUUAAGCGGCCCUGUGCUGGGUGGCAGGUUUCAGACAGCUGUUCCUGCUGGAGGGUAUAUUUAGUUCACCUGAACCUCGUGUGUGUGUGUGUGUGUGUGUGUGUGUGUGUGUGUGUGUGUGUGUGUGUGUGUAGGGUGAACGACAUAUGCUAGCGGCCCAUGUCAGGUGCGCGUGUGUAUGUGUGUGUGACGAGGGAGGGGUUGGUCUGGGCACGGUGCUCAGCCCGCUCGGGUUCCGUCAGGCCGUGCUGGCACGCGCAGGACACCAGAUGUCGGAGCAGAGACGGCUCGGUGGGCCACACCUUUCGACAAGCUAAAAUCGGAGCGCGGCAACCAGAAAUAACCUCCCGCUGGACCUGACUCCGCUCAAAAACUCCACACCAGAUCACGGCCACCAGCAGUCAGAAGGACUCUCGCUUCCUCUCCGCCGGCGCACUAGAUUUGGGCUUCCGCCUGCUGCCGGACUUUACUUUUUAUGGUGUAAUUACGCUCUUCCCGAUUUCCCCUCCUGAGGUGAGGGAGAGAAGAAGCAGAUUAAAACACUGGCGUGCCGUGGGAGAGAAAGAAGUUGCUUCCAUGAUGAGAGCGCCGCUCUAUGGGAUAGACGUAUCUAGAGAACCGAAGCAACACAUCGUUACAGAGGCAUUGUGUCAGUGACACAGCACACAGCACGGAAGUUUGAAAGCAAAGUGAGAAGGAAGAUAAUACUUGGUACAGAACUUGAAAGAGCCUAAAGGCUUCAUGACUUCUAAUCCACUCUGAGAGAACAAGGGCGCGUGGACAAGCGGCAGUUCGCGAGGAAAGGGGCAGAGCCAAAUGACUGUGUGCGGCGACGCCAAUAAAAAUGAGAGGAACAAGAGCUAAAAUUGGGCUUUGAAACACCAAAAUCCCAGAACAAAUAUACGCCCUCCGACACCGAGACAACUCAACUCUGACUGCUGGCGAGGUUACGAUUUUUCAGACAUCCUGGCAGUGUCCUAACGGAUCAUACGAACAUGAAAAUGCGGCAAAAUUGUAAUAUUUGUAAAAAUAAAUAUUUGUAUCGCUA